rnacentral:misc_RNA from 1 species
GAAAUUCUUCACAGUCUCAGCAUUAAAUCUAGCAGUAUACUGUACAACUACGACAUAGUACUUUGAAUUGUUACGAUCACUACAAUCAGUGAUAUUAGAUGGGGCUUGAGUAUUUACCAGAACAAUGCUUUUGCAGAGAUGGUGAACGGAUGCAGCGCCUAAAACAUCACGACGAGCUUCGAGAGGCCAAUCAUAGUAAUCAGAGGCAACACGCUUGAAGCAGAAAUCUCUGACGCCAUUCCCGAGGAGAAUGGAGGAUAGGCAGUCCACGAU